CAUAAAUCUUAGUUCAUGAUUCAAGUCAGUACUUAAUUUAAUUUAGCUAUGUUUAAAUUGAUAAAAUACACAGAGGAUUCAUAAGUUCCGUUGGUCGUCAAAGGAAGAUAAUAACGUUUUGAAUGUUUUGAGCGAUCAUUGUUGGCUAGUAUGGUUUUAUUUAAUCUGUGGUAUAAUAUUGUUUUAUAAUAAUUAGGUAUUUCACCAUAGUUUCAAUAAAUAACAACGAUGGAACAUUCAGUCGAGUUUUUAUUAGCGUACAGAGCACAUCACGUAUAAUUUUUGUAACAAAAAAAUCUAUCGCAUUUGGCACGUUCUUGACACGUCACGUCAUCGUCGGCAUUUUUUAGAACGGCUCACGUUCACUCGGUCGCCUUUGCACAAUACAAUCGGCUGAUCGGCUAAGCGCCCCAUCGACGGACUCUGCGUUCUCAAAUACGACAAACCCGUACUAGGUCGGCUUUCGAUUCCGGUCGACUCCUCGUUUGAUCAGCACCCUCAAAACUUGUACCGUAACGGGUGAAUGUUUUUCGAAGGUGUUCCUAUUACUUACCGAGGCCGUCAAAAAGCCGACAUACAGGUGAUUUUCGUUCGAGGUCUGGUCUUCCACGCCCAACCUUUCGUCUGCGGCUCGGCGACAGCACGUUUCGCGAUUACCACGGAAGCGACCACGGUGGACUCAACCACAAAAGAUUGUGAACCUCUCCGUCGUUGGUAUUCUUGUCUAUGGUCGUCGCCAUGACCAGUGACCGGUCAGACGGGCACCGGACCGUUUCUACGGACUGGAAACUCGUCGUGGCCGGUCGGUCUCCGGUGCCGCCGCGUUCUCCAACAGCCCGCAAAUCCGCGGCCGGAACAGUGGCCAUGUUUCUCGGCCCGUCUACGUGACGGUAUAUCGCGUCCUCCGCAAAGAAUCGCCUGUUGUGGUCCUCCGGCGUGUUGUACCGUGCCGUAUAAUAUUCACCCACAAGCGUGAAGCCGCCGCCGUUACACAAUGCUACACACGGGCACACGGCGAGAACGGGUAAUUCUUAACCGAUUAAGAACUGGACACGGAAGCUGGUGUGGACAUAUGAUGUUCAAAUGGAAAUUAAAGGACAGCCCAGAGUGUGAUUGUGGAAAUGGCAGCCAGAAUAAUAUGAGACAUAUUACAGACGAAUGCCCGAAUAGAAGGUUUGAGUUGGGCAUUAAUGGCAUUAAUGAAGUUACGAAAGAAGCAUUUGAAUGGAUAAGGGACUUGGACAUAGAAAUCUAGAUUUGACUGAAUACUAUAUUAUUAUAAUGUAUGUUACUGUGUUAUUGUUGCCAUACGAAUAAAAAAAUUACUAAAUCCUAUAAAAAA